rnacentral:rRNA from 1 species
AGCGAACGCUGGCGGCAGGCCUAACACAUGCAAGUCGAACGAUCCUUCGGGAUAGUGGCGGACGGGUGAGUAACACGUGGGAACGUGCCCUUUGGUUCGGAAUAACUCAGGGAAACUUGAGCUAAUACCGGAUGUGCCCUUCGGGGGAAAGAUUUAUCGCCAUUGGAGCGGCCCGCGUUGGAUUAGCUAGUUGGUGGGGUAAAGGCCCACCAAGGCUACGAUCCAUAGCUGGUCUGAGAGGUUAAUAAGCCACACUGGGACUGAGACACGGCCCAGACUCCGAGGGGAGGCAGAAGUGGGGAAUCUUGCGCAAUGGGCGAAAGGCUGACGCAGCCAUGCCGCGUGAAUGAUGAAGGGCUUAGGAUUGUAAAAUUCUUUCACCGGGGACGAUAAUGACGGUACCCGGAGAAGAAGCCCCGGCUAACUGCGUGCCAGCCGCCGCCGUAAGAC